UGAGCCAAGUUUAGGGUUUUCUCAAAACCCAAGCAGUAUUGAACUGAAGAGUUUGAUCAUGGCUCAGAUUGAACGCUGGCGGCAGGCCUAACACAUGCAAGUCGAGCGGAUGAAGGGAGCUUGCUCCU
rnacentral:rRNA from 1 species